CUGGCGGCGCGCUUAAGCAUGCAAGUCGGACGGCAAGAUGAGAGCUUGCUCUCAUCCUAGAGUGGCGGACUGGUGAGUAACACGUGGGUGACGUACCCCCGGGACGGGGAUAGCUCCUAGAAAAUGGAGAUAAUACCGGAUACGACCGCAGACGUAGAGGUCUGCGAGGAAAGGAGCUCUGGCUCCGCCCGGGGAACGGCCUGCGGCCCAUUAGCUAGUUGGUGUGGUAACGGCAUACCAAGGCGAUGAUGGGUAUCCGGCCUGAGAGGGUGAACGGACACAUUGGGACUGAGACACGGCCCAAACUCCUACGGGAGGCAGCAGUGGGGAAUAUUGCACAAUGGGCGAAAGCCUGAUGCAGCGAACGCCGCGUGAGUGAUGAAGUAUUUCGGUAUGUAAAGCUCUAUCAGCAGGGAAGAAAAAUGACGGUACCUGACUAAGAAGCCCCGGCUAACUACGUGCCAGCAGCUGC
rnacentral:rRNA from 1 species